rnacentral:lncRNA from 1 species
CAGCGUCUCAUGGGCAGUCCAGGCUUUCGGGGCCAGGUUGGGCAGCAGCCCCUGCAGCCGGUCCCACUGAGUCUGCCCUGCCUUCCAGAUUCUGGUACAGGUCAAAGAGGUCCUCUCCAAGCUGAGCACGCUCGUGGAAACCACACUCAAAGAGACAGAGAAGAUUACAGUAUGUGGGGACACCCAUGGCCAGUUCUAUGACCUCCUCAACAUAUUCGAGCUCAACGGUUUACCCUCGGAGACCAACCCCUAUAUAUUUAAUGGUGACUUUGUGGACCGAGGCUCCUUCUCUGUAGAAGUGAUCCUCACCCUUUUCGGCUUCAAGCUCCUGUACCCAGAUCACUUUCACCUCCUUCGAGGCAACCACGAGACAGACAACAUGAACCAGAUCUACGGUUUCGAGGGUGAGGUGAAGGCCAAGUACACAGCCC